UACGUAGGGUGCAAGCGUUGUUCGGAAUUACUGGGCGUAAAGCGCGCGUAGGCGGGUUUGCAAGUCGAUUGUGAAAUCCCUGGGCUCAACCCGGGAAUUGCAGUCGAAACUGUAAAUCUUGAGUGCCUGAGAGGAUGGCGGAAUUCCCGGUGUAGUAGUGAAAUACGUAGAUAUCGGGAAGAACACCUGAGGCGAAGGCGGCUAUCUGGCGGUGCACUGACGCUAAGGCGCGAAAGCGUGGGGAGCAAACAGG
rnacentral:rRNA from 1 species